UGGGCUGGCGGCGUCUUACCAUGCAGUCGAACGAUGAAGCCCAGCUUGCUGGGUGGAUUAGUGGCGAACGGGUGAGUAACACGUGAGUAACCUGCCCUUAACUCUGGGAUAAGCCUGGGAAACUGGGUCUAAUACCGGAUAGGAGCGCCUACCGCAUGGUGGGUGUUGGAAAGAUUUAUCGGUUUUGGAUGGACUCGCGGCCUAUCAGCUUGUUGGUGAGGUAAUGGCUCACCAAGGCGACGACGGGUAGCCGGCCUGAGAGGGUGACCGGCCACACUGGGACUGAGACACGGCCCAGACUCCUACGGGAGGCAGCAGUGGGGAAUAUUGCACAAUGGGCGCAAGCCUGAUGCAGCGACGCCGCGUGAGGGAUGACGGCCUUCGGGUUGUAAACCUCUUUCAGUAGGGAAGAAGCGAAAGUGACGGUACCUGCAGAAGAAGCACCGGCUAACUACGUGCCAGCAGCCGCGGUAAUACGUAGGGUGCGAGCGUUAUCCGGAAUUAUUGGGCGUAAAGAGCUCGUAGGCGGUUUGUCGCGUCUGUCGUGAAAGUCCGGGGCUUAACCCCGGAUCUGCGGUGGGUACGGGCAGACUAGAGUGCAGUAGGGGAGACUGGAAUUCCUGGUGUAGCGGUGGAAUGCGCAGAUAUCAGGAGGAACACCGAUGGCGAAGGCAGGUCUCUGGGCUGUAACUGACGCUGAGGAGCGAAAGCAUGGGGAGCGAACAGGAUUAGAUACCCUGGUAGUCCAUGCCGUAAACGUUGGGCACUAGGUGUGGGGACCAUUCCACGGUUUCCGCGCCGCAGCUAACGCAUUAAGUGCCCCGCCUGGGGAGUACGGCCGCAAGGCUAAAACUCAAAGGAAUUGACGGGGGCCCGCACAAGCGGCGGAGCAUGCGGAUUAAUUCGAUGCAACGCGAAGAACCUUACCAAGGCUUGACAUGUUCUCGAUCGCCGUAGAGAUACGGUUUCCCCUUUGGGGCGGGUUCACAGGUGGUGCAUGGUUGUCGUCAGCUCGUGUCGUGAGAUGUUGGGUUAAGUCCCGCAACGAGCGCAACCCUCGUUCCAUGUUGCCAGCACGUAAUGGUGGGGAACUCAUGGGAAA
rnacentral:rRNA from 1 species